rnacentral:rRNA from 1 species
GAUGAACGCUGGCGGCGUGCCUAAUACAUGCAAGUCGAGCGAACAGACGAGGAGCUUGCUCCUCUGACGUUAGCGGCGGACGGGUGAGUAACACGUGGAUAACCUACCUAUAAGACCGGGAUAACUUCGGGAAACCGGAGCUAAUACCGGAUAAUAUAUUGAACCGCAUGGUUCAAUAGUGAAAGACGGUUUUGCUGUCACUUAUAGAUGGAUCCGCGCCGCAUUAGCUAGUUGGUAAGGUAACGGCUUACCAAGGCAACGAUGCGUAGCCGACCUGAGAGGGUGAUCGGCCACACUGGAACUGAGACACGGUCCAGACUCCUACGGGAGGCAGCAGUAGGGAAUCUUCCGCAAUGGGCGAAGGCCUGACGGAGCAACGCCGCGUGAGUGAUGAAGGUCUUCGGAUCGUAAAACUCUGUUAUUAGGGAAGAACAAAUGUGUAAGUAACUAUGCACGUCUUGACGGUACCUAAUCAGAAAGCCACGGCUAACUACGUG